UCCUACGGGAGGCAGCAGUGGGGAAUCUUGCACAAUGGGCGAAAGCCUGAUGCAGCUAUGCCGCGUGUAUGAAGAAGGCCUUAGGGUUGUAAAAUACUUUCAGCAAGGAAGAAGAAUAAAAAUCUAAUACAUUUUUAUUUUGACGUUACUUGAAGAAGAAGCACCGGCUAACUCCGUGCCAGCAGCCGCGGUAAU
rnacentral:rRNA from 1 species